GCAUGGAUAGUUUAAGGGUAGAAUCCCAGUUUCCCAUACUGGGGGCCCGCGUUCGAGUCGCGGUUCAUGCA